rnacentral:rRNA from 1 species
AACACAGAAGUUAAGCUCCUUAGCGUCGAUGGUAGUCGAACUUACGUUCCGCUAGAGUAGAACGUUGCCAGGC